UACGAAGGGGGGCUAGCGUUGCUCGGAAUCACUGGGCGUAAAGCGCACGUAGGCGGCUUUUUAAGUCAGAGGUGAAAUCCUGGAGCUCAACUCCAGAACUGCCUUUGAUACUGAGAAGCUUGAGUCCGGGAGAGGUGAGUGGAACUGCGAGUGUAGAGGUGAAAUUCGUAGAUAUUCGCAAGAACACCAGUGGCGAAGGCGGCUCACUGGCCCGGUACUGACGCUGAGGUGCGAAAGCGUGGGGAGCAG
rnacentral:rRNA from 1 species